rnacentral:rRNA from 1 species
CGGACGGGUGAGUAAUGUAUAGUUAAUCUGCCCUAUAGAGGGGGAUAACAGUUGGAAACGACUGCUAAUACCCCAUACUCCUUUUACAUUAAUUGUAAUUGGGAAAUGUUUUUUCGCUAAAGGAUGAGACUAUAUGGUAUCAGGUAGUUGGUGGGGUAAGAGCCUACCAAGCCAAUGACGCCUAGCUGGUCUGAGAGGAUGAUCAGCCACACUGGAACUGAGACACGGUCCAG